AGGGUUUGAUCCUGGCUCAGAGUGAACGCUAGCGGCGUGGAUUAGGCAUGCAAGUUGAGCGCGAAAGCAUGAUGAAGGAUCCUUCGGGUGACUGAUUCGGCGAGUAGAGCAGCGCAAGGGUGAGUAAUACAUGGCUAACAUACCCCGAACAUGAGAAUAACUAUUAGAAAUGAUAGCUAAUGCUCAAUAGUUUCUUAAGACCUCCUGGUCUAAAGAAUAAAGGUAGGGAUCCUUCGGGACCUUCCGGUUUGGGAGUGGGUCAUGGGCUAUCAGCUAGUUGGUGAGGUAAAGGCUCACCAAGGCUAAGACGGCUAGGCGAUCUGAGAGGAUGAUCGCCCACAUCGGGACUGAGACACUGCCCGGACUCCUACGGGAGGCUGCAGUCGAGAAUCUUCCGCAAUGCGCGCAAGCGUGACGGAGCAAUGCCGCGUGGUGGAUGAAGGCCUUAGGGUUGUAAACACCUGUCACAUGGGACGAAUAUUUGACGGUACCAUGAGAGGAAGCCACGGCUAACUACGUGCCAGCAGCCGCGGUAAUACGUAGGUGGCGAGCGUUGUUCGGAUUUAUUGGGCGUAAAGGGUCCGCAGGGGGUUUACUAAGUCUGAUGUGAAAUCCCAAGGCUCAACCUUGGAACUGCAUUGGAAACUGGUGAACUAGAGUAUCGGAGAGGUAAAUGGAAUUCCUGGUGUAGCGGUGGAAUGCGUAGAUAUCAGGAAGAACACCGAGAGCGAAGGCAAUUUACUGGACGAUCACUGACCCUCAGGGACGAAAGCGUAGGUAGCGAACAGGAUUAGAUACCCUGGUAGUCUACGCCGUAAACGUUGUGAACUUGUUGUGGGGGGAUUUAGCCCCUUCCGUGACGCAGCUAACGCUUUAAGUUCACCGCCUGGGGACUACGGCCGCAAGGCUAAAACUCAAAGGAAUUGACGGGGGCCCGCACAAGCGGUGGAGCAUGUGGCUUAAUUCGAGGCAACGCGAAGAACCUUACCUGGACUU
rnacentral:rRNA from 1 species